AUUCGCUCCACCACCCAGGCCUCCUGCUGAGGCACAAACAGGAUCACGGUGUUUCGGGGCAGUCCAGAGGAGGCGCGGCGCGGAACGCGGCCAGAAGCCUGCACCGAGCCCUGAAGGAAGACGAGACAAAAGGGCUCCAGUGCCCCGCGCCGCGCGCGCCAGCAUUUCCCACAGCCUCGGCGACCUCCGGAACCAACGAGAGGUGGGGCAGAGCGGCCUCUUGUGAAGCCUGAACCCGAGCCCUUCCUUCAGCUGGUCCACUCCGCCCGACGUACUUCCGGCGUAUUAGUCCACCCUCCCAUCCCCACUAGUCGGCGUCCGUCAAAUCGUUCCCUGGGAAACGUAGGCUUUGAAGAGAGAGCCCGAGAGUGCAAGUUUGUUCUGGUUCUCAAAAACUACGAAGCUCCUGGGCAUUGUGGUAGAAAUUGAGGCAAUAUUCCGUCCGCAAGUGGUACAGGAACACCGCCCACCAAAUUCUGUACCCACAGCCGUGACUCAGUUUACCCUCCAGCUCGUGUAUAACUGUCCUAAUCUGUCACCAUAACGACAAUGGAUUGGAUUGGCGCUCAGUAGUUGCCCGUGGUUGCCAUAGUGACAUUCUUGGGUAGUCAUGCUGUUGUGCCCAGCUCUCCCACUGGGGACUGACCCCAUUCCCGUUGUCAUGGUAACUAGGAGGCCUAACUUUACCUUAGGACUGGGCGGAGAUUUCUCCCUUCCCUCUUUUCCCAAGGCAUCAACAGCUCUUUUUCAUAUUUUUUUCUGAGCCAGAAACGGUCAGGCAUGAUCCCCUUACAUACAGAGGGAAACAAAGAGCCUCAGCCUUUCAUUUUUGUCUGAAACACAUCAACCUUGCUCAGGUCUCUGACACUCUCUCAAAUACAAGCUUUAAGAGGCCUGUAUCCCCCCUCAUCUCCUUCUUCUCAUUCUCCUCCUCCUCCUUCAUUUUACAUAUACAGACACUGAGGUUCUGAUGGGGCUAAACUACAGAAUCAGUGUAAGAAUCCAGAUUCUCAGAGUUUAGCCUCUGUAGCUUCACUUUACCCACCCAGCCCCCAGCACCUUAUACAAAAAGGACUAAGACUAUGGUCCAAGACUCAGCUCAUCCCAGCCUAAGAUCUCAUGGGUUUGAGCUUGUUGCCAGAAUUCCAGCUCCCUUUAGGCCCCACAUCUCCAUCCUCUUGAACACAAAAAAAAGUAGAGGUUAGUUCAAGUUUCCAAACAAGAAUUUAUUCUUUUUUUUUUCCUUAAAAAAUGUACCAGGUACAAUUUUUCCC
ensembl:lincRNA Gm26643 predicted gene, 26643